UGAAGUAGGUCCCAAGGGUAUGGCUGUUCGCCAUUUAAAGUGGUACGCGAGCUGGGUUUAGAACGUCGUGAGACAGUUCGGUCCCUAUCUGCCGUGGGCGCUGGAGAACUGAGGGGGGCUGCUCCUAGUACGAGAGGACCGGAGUGGACGCAUCACUGGUGUUCGGGUUGUCAUGCCAAUGGCACUGCCCGGUAGCUAAAUGCGGAAGAGAUAAGUGCUGAAAGCAUCUAAGCACGAAACUUGCCCCGAGAUGAGUUCUCCCUGAGACUUAGAGUCUCCUGAAGGAACGUUGAAGACGACGACGUUGAUAGGCCGGGUGUGUAAGCGCAGCGAUGCGUUGAGCUAACCGGUACUAAUGAACCGUGAGGCUUAACCUUAC
rnacentral:rRNA from 1 species